rnacentral:sRNA from 1 species
CCUGAUGUGUUAUAUGUGCUAUUUUUCUUAUGCGGUGAAUCCCCCUCAGCGGCGGGGCUAAGCCACAAAGGGGUGAAAGCCUGCCAAUUAGCGGGUCAGGUGUGGCAUUUCCUGACUCACCGGGAGGCACCCGGCACCGCUCAGUUUUCUUCAGGGAAGCUGAUGGAUGAGAACAGACGGACGCGAAUCCCCCUCAGC